rnacentral:rRNA from 1 species
GCAGAACGCGAAGAACCUUACCUGGCCUUGACAUCCAUGGAAUCCCGAAGAGAUUGGAGUGCCGCAAGGAACCAUGAGACAGGUGCUGCAUGGCGUGUCGUCAGCUCGUGUCGUGAGAUGUUGGGUUAAGUCCCGCAACGAGCGCAACCCUUGUCCUUAGUUGCCAUCAUUAAGUUGGGAACUCUAAGGAGACCGCCGGUGACAAACCGGAGGAAGGUGGGGAUGACGUCAAGUCAUCAUGGCCUUUAUGGCCAGGGCUACACACGUGCUACAAUGGCAAGUACAGAGGGAAGCCAACCGGCGACGGGGAGCUAAUCCCAGAAAACUUGUCUUAGUCCGGAUUGCAGUCUGCAACUCGACUGCAUGAAGUUGGAAUCGCUAGUAAUCGCAGAUCAGCAUUGCUGCGGUGAAUAC